rnacentral:miRNA from 1 species
UAUAGCCCGGACACUAACGAAAU